GACCCCAUAGUUUAACGGAUAAAACAAGAACCUCCUAAGUUCUAGAUUCAGGUUCGAUUCCUGGUGGGGUCACCA
rnacentral:tRNA from 1 species